AACUGGGUAUAAUUUAAUCAUGUUCUUAUCUAUGACCAGACGGGUCAAAUUCACUCCUUGGGACGGGGGCUGUAUCCCCCUUUGCUGAAGCACCCGGCUACAUGAAAAAGUGGACACAACUAUAAAUCAGGGCUCGUCCAGCAGGAAGCAGGGGUGGGCUUGGAGCAGGCAACCGAUAAUGUCUGUGAUCAUACGAGUUUACGAGUGAUAAUCAGAACAUGAAAAACGGUGUGAAACUUAACAGAUGGUGAAAAUACCCAGUAGUUAGUUUGAAUAAUCCAAAGGUUGGAAGAUAGAAAGGUAGAGGAGAGUUUUCUUUUCACUUAUGAUGACCCAGGACUAAGAGUUCCAUGCUACACAGCAUAAACAUGAUAGUUGUCACCCAAAGAAUCUUCAGGACAGGAGUUCUGAGUUGUGAACCUUGGACACAGAAGAAGUUAGUAAUAAGAAGCCUAUGUAACCGCUCAUGUCGUGCAAUGUACCUUCCUGAUGAACUUGCAGGAUAAAUUCAUUGUAAAAUAUCCUGUAAAAUAUAUCACACUGUUUGUAAAAUGAGGAUGAUACCUUCCUCCUAAGGUCAGUGUGUGAAUUAAGUGAGGUAAUAAAUAACCAAGAGCCUA